rnacentral:rRNA from 1 species
GAACCUGCGGAAGGAUCAUUACAGAGUUCAUGCCCGAAAGGGUAGACCUCCCACCCUUGUGUAUUAUUACUUUGUUGCUUUGGCGAGCUGCCUUCGGGCCUUGUAUGCUCGCCAGAGAAUACCAAAACUCUUUUUAUUAAUGUCGUCUGAGUACUAUAUAAUAGUUAAAACUUUCAACAACGGAUCUCUUGGUUCUGGCAUCGAUGAAGAACGCAGCGAAAUGCGAUAAGUAAUGUGAAUUGCAGAAUUCAGUGAAUCAUCGAAUCUUUGAACGCACAUUGCGCCCCUUGGUAUUCCGGGGGGCAUGCCUGUUCGAGCGUCAUUUCAACCCUCAAGCUUAGCUUGGUAUUGAGUCUAUGUCAGUAAUGGCAGGCUCUAAAAUCAGUGGCGGCGCCGCUGGGUCCUGAACGUAGUAAUAUCUCUCGUUACAGGUUCUCGGUGUGCUUCUGCCAAAACCCAAAUUUUUCUAUGGUUGACCUCGGAUCAGGUAGGGAUACCCGCUGAACUUAAGCAUAUCAA